rnacentral:rRNA from 1 species
GUAAUCACUUGUCCCCUAAAUAGGGACCAGUAUGAACGGCUAAAUGAGGGCCUAACUGUCUCCUAUGGCCAAUCAAUGAAACUGAUCUUCCAGUAAAAAAGCUGGAAUAAACCCACAAGACGAGAAGACCCUGUGGAGCUUUAAACUAAUAUACUACCACAUCAACCCCCGUACCAAAAUGGUUUAAUAGUAAAAAUAAUAGUAUAAGUUUUAAGUUGGGGCAACUACGGAACAAAAAAAACCUUCCAUGCAACAGGAUAUGUUAUCCAUUAAAGGACUACAAACCAAAAAUAUUUUAUGUAAACGACCCAGUAACACUGAACAGCGAACCAAGUUACCCCAGGGAUAACAGCGCCAUCCUCUUCUAGAGUUCCCAUCGCCAAGAGGGCUUACGACCUCGAUGUUGGAUCAGGGCCCCCAGGCGGUGCAGCCGCUGCCAACGGUUCGUUUGUUCAACGAUUAAUGCCCUACGUGAUCU